UGGGGUGUAGCUUAGUGGUAAAGUGCUUGCCUAGCAUGCAUGAGGCCCUGAUUCUAAUCCCCAGCACCACAA
rfam:Heterocephalus glaber contig40901, whole genome shotgun sequence.